GGGUAUAUAGCUCAGUGGUAGAGCAUGCGCCUAGCAUGCAUGAGGUCCUGGGUUCAAUCCCCAGUACCUCCA
rnacentral:tRNA from 1 species